rnacentral:tRNA from 1 species
GGGAGCGGUUGGCGUCCGGUGGCGUCCGCGGUCUUCAAAACCGUUGUCGGGCCGGUCAGGUCCGGGGUGGGUUCGACUCCCAUCCGUUCCCG